AUUGAACGCUGGCGGCAGGCCUAACACAUGCAAGUCGGGCUAGCGGCGGACGGGUGUGUAAUGUAUGGGGAUCUGCCUGAUGGAGUGGGAUAACUACUGGAAACGGUAGCUAAUACCGCAUACCAUCAGAUGAACCCAUAUGGGAUUAGCUAGUAGGUGGGGUAAUGGCUCACCUAGGCGACGCUCCCUAGCUGGUCUGAGAGGAUGACCAGCCACACUGGAACUGAGACACGGUCCAGACUCCUACGGGAGGCAGCAGUGGGGAAUAUUGCACAAUGGGCGCAAGCCGGAUGCAGCCAUGCCGCGUGUAUGAAGAAGGCCUUCGGGUUGUAAAGUACUUUCAGCGAGGAGGCGUUACUCGCAGAAGAAGCACCGGCUAACUCCGUGCCAGCAGCCGCGGUAAUAC
rnacentral:rRNA from 1 species